AAGCGUGCGCAGGCGGUUUUGUAAGUCAGAUGUGAAAUCCCCGAGCUCAACUUGGGAACUGCGUUUGAAACUACAAGACUAGAAUAUGUCAGAGGGGGGUAGAAUUCCACGUGUAGCAGUGAAAUGCGUAGAGAUGUGGAGGAAUACCAAUGGCGAAGGCAGCCCCCUGGGAUAAUAUUGACGCUCAUGCACGAAAGCGUGGGGAGCAAACAGGAUUAGAUACCCUGGUAGUCCACGCCCUAAACGAUGUCUACUAGUUGUUGGUGGAGUAAAAUCCAUGAGUAACGCAGCUAACGCGUGAAGUAGACCGCCUGGGGAGUACGGUCGCAAGAUUAAAACUCAAAUGAAUUGACGGGGGCCCGCACAAGCGGUGGAUUAUGUGGAUUAAUUCGAUGCAACGCGAAAAACCUUACCUGGCCUUGACAUGUAACGAACUUUCCAGAGAUGGAUUGGUGCUCGAAAGAGAGCGUUAACACAGGUGCUGCGUGGCUGUCGUCAGCUCGUGUCGUGAGAUGUUGGGUUAAGUCCCGCAACGAGCGCAACCCUUGCCAUUAAUUGCCAUCAUUUAGUUGGGCACUUUAAUGGGACUGCCGGUGACAAACCGGAGGAAGGUGGGGAUGACGUCAAGUCCUCAUGGCCCUUAUGGCCAGGGCUUCACACGUAAUACAAUGGUCGGUACAGAGGGUUGCCAAGCCGCGAGGUGGAGCCAAAUCCCAGAAAGCCGAUCGUAGUCCGGGAUUGUAGUCUGCAACUCGACUACAUGAAGUCGGAAUCGCUAGUAAUCGCGGGAUCAGCAUGUCGCGGUGAAUACGUUCCCGGG
rnacentral:rRNA from 1 species